CGUCUGCAGCUUCAGUGAGACAUCUCAGGAUCCACUGCUCUUCCACUUUUAAUUCAGAUGUACUGGAAGUCCAGGAGAGAUUAAAGAACAGCCGUCAUCAGAGACUUCUUCUUAUACAUUUAUGAUUUUCAUACAUGGUUUUUGAUUUAUUCGCGCUUCCAUCUGAAAACGUAACCGGAAAUAAAUCAAAUAUCACAUAUAGGAUAACAUCUUUCUUCAGUCCUCCUGACAUGAUUUACAGCUCAGAUUAUUUAUUCUUCUAAACCCUAAAAGACAUGAAUGAAAACCAAUUGUAUUCACUAGUAAAAAAGACAAGGCAGCCUAAAAUAACUUAUACUUAAAGUCAAUUUGACAUAUUAUUACUUUCCGAUACGUCUAAUUCGAGAAGUGUUCUUAUUAUAGUAACUUCUAGACUUUAAUUGUUAUCACACGGGCGUGAACGGGCUUCUGUGUGAUGAAUGUGAUGCUGUGUUUCUUCACUCGCCAGUUUUUGCUCUUCUUCAGGCGAUCGCUCUUCGCUGCUUCCGAAAACAACGAGCAGCCAGCAGGGGGCGCUGAGGAGCAGAACCCUGCGGCUCACCAUGAUGCCGCCGCUGACCGACUGGAACACUGAGGGAUUCUGGGAAACUCAGGACACCUCACACUGUCCUCUGAAUACGGAGGUGUCUCAGAGAUGGAGGAUCUGCGUCUGUAUGCGUUCUAUCUAACACCUCUUUGCUUUUAAUUCAGGUAUUUAAUCUUCCUGUAAACCGGCGGCCUCAGGCUGGCAAGGAAGUGGGAUGACGUUUCAAGGUCUCCAAGCGUCACCGUUUACGUCAAAGCACAGACAAAAGGGUUUAAACUGACCAUGUAGCUGCCGGUGUGGAAGCCACACAUGUACCACAGCAUCAACAUGCUAGAGGAGGGGUCAGCGUCCGCGGAGCUCCCAAACGUCCAGAGAGGAGGAGAAGGAGGGAUGAAGGACACCGAGUCCUGGGAGAGGGAGAAGACAUGAGUCAGACACAGAGAGAGGAAUAUUAGUUAUUAGUAAAUAAAGUAUUAGUUUUA